AAGGAGGAGAUCAAAAUGUAGGAUCUGACAACACAGGAGAAGAAAAGGGGUUUAAAAUAGAGGAGAAAGCAGAGAUGAAAGCAGGUGAAAGUAAUCAACUAGACAAGAGACAGAUUAAAGACAUGAUGAACUGACAGUGUACACACAGAGGAGGAACUGACCAAAAUGGGUGCAAGACCUCGAAACUUAACAAAAUCCAUAAACAAUGCAAAGGAAUUAAAGAAAGCCUAACCCAAAAUUAACAACAUCCCAACACAAACACCUAAGGAUCGUGACAUAUAGACAAUGAAACUGCACAAUGUUAAAAAAGCUUUGCAGUAAUGACAACAUGGCAUGUUUUCCUUAGAUAUGUCACAUAAUGUUUAGGUUCAGUUUCAGCCAUUCUUUAGCUGAAGCUCCUAAGGUUAAACAUGUUUCUUUUCUUUCCAGGAUCAGAAACUGACACUGGUAAUUGGUUCUCACGCCUGCUUUUUUCUCGGACACCUACCAGGGACACAGGAGUGAGCUUUUUUGAUUCUAAAAAAUCUGACCAGUCAAAUGAAAAAAGGAAGGUGAAGGUCCACUUUAUAUCCAACCACGAUACGUUUGGUGCUGAUGAUGCCAUAAAGAAAAAGUUAAAGAGCAACAUGGGGUCAUCACUACAGGAAGAAAAAAGAAGGGAGAAAUGCAACAUGAUUGUUGUCUUCUGUCCAGUCGACCGCAGUGUUGAAUCAGGUGUAAACUCAAUGAUGGAAGCUACAGCAGUUUCAUCUUCUGGUAAACCCGUCAUUCUAGUUCUGAUGCAUCACACCAGAGACCCGGACUAUUCCACUGGACUAUAUGACCCUCGUGAAUCGUGGAACAAUGUUGUGCAUUAUGUUCAUGUUCUGUACCAUGAGACUACACAAGGAUUACUGACAUAUUCUGAUAUUGACCAGGCAAUCAAUGGCAUUCAACAAUUCCUACUAAAGAAACAACAGUUUGUUUGAAGUGUGCUUUAUCGGUCUUGUUUAAAAAUGUUUUAGCUCAGUAGUCCAUUUCUUCAUUGCAUUUC